UGGGCACUUGCAGCAUGGUGUGAAGCUGCUGCUGUGGCUUAGUUCAGUUGUGCUGUUUUAUAGUCUUGCUUUUGACCAGUUACCAAUUCCCUCUGAUUUUUGCUUUAAUUGCCAGGGGGACAAAGGUGCGAUGGGAAUCCCUGGGCGGCCGGGUGCUCCAGGAGAAGCUGGCAUGUCCAUCAUUGGGCCCCGUGGCCCACCCGGACAGCCUGGAACAAGAGGUUUUCCUGGAUUCCCGGGCCCUAUUGGCUUGGAUGGCAAACCGGUAAGCAGAGAACUCCUCUGCAGGCUUCUGCCCUGCCCCAGUCCCACUGGGCUGGAACCUGGGUGUUACACCCUGUGUUUGAAGGGGAUUGUUUUGCAAUGCCAUGCACAUGCAUGGAUUAAAACAAAACGAGGAGGUUGGCAGGCAGCAGGAUGCCACAGAUGCCUUGGGGGAGAUGCA
rnacentral:lncRNA from 1 species